CUCAGGACGAACGCUGGCGGCGUGCCUAAUACAUGCAAGUCGAGCGGACAGAAGGGAGCUUGCUCCCGGAUGUUAGCGGCGGACGGGUGAGUAACACGUGGGUAACCUGCCUGUAAGACUGGGAUAACUCCGGGAAACCGGAGCUAAUACCGGAUAGUUCCUUGAACCGCAUGGUUCAAGGAUGAAAGACGGUUUCGGCUGUCACUUACAGAUGGACCCGCGGCGCAUUAGCUAGUUGGUGAGGUAACGGCUCACCAAGGCGACGAUGCGUAGCCGACCUGAGAGGGUGAUCGGCCACACUGGGACUGAGACACGGCCCAGACUCCUACGGGAGGCAGCAGUAGGGAAUCUUCCGCAAUGGACGAAAGUCUGACGGAGCAACGCCGCGUGAGUGAUGAAGGUUUUCGGAUCGUAAAGCUCUGUUGUUAGGGAAGAACAAGUGCAAGAGUAACUGCUUGCACCUUGACGGUACCUAACCAGAAAGCCACGGCUAACUACGUGCCAGCAGCCGCGGUAAUACGUAGGUGGCAAGCGUUGUCCGGAAUUAUUGGGCGUAAAGGGCUCGCAGGCGGUUUCUUAAGUCUGAUGUGAAAGCCCCCGGCUCAACCGGGGAGGGUCAUUGGAAACUGGGAAACUUGAGUGCAGAAGAGGAGAGUGGAAUUCCACGUGUAGCGGUGAAAUGCGUAGAGAUGUGGAGGAACACCAGUGGCGAAGGCGACUCUCUGGUCUGUAACUGACGCUGAGGAGCGAAAGCGUGGGGAGCGAACAGGAUUAGAUACCCUGGUAGUCCACGCCGUAAACGAUGAGUGCUAAGUGUUAGGGGGUUUCCGCCCCUUAGUGCUGCAGCUAACGCAUUAAGCACUCCGCCUGGGGAGUACGGUCGCAAGACUGAAACUCAAAGGAAUUGACGGGGGCCCGCACAAGCGGUGGAGCAUGUGGUUUAAUUCGAAGCAACGCGAAGAACCUUACCAGGUCUUGACAUCCUCUGACAACCCUAGAGAUAGGGCUUUCCCUUCGGGGACAGAGUGACAGGUGGUGCAUGGUUGUCGUCAGCUCGUGUCGUGAGAUGUUGGGUUAAGUCCCGCAACGAGCGCAACCCUUGAUCUUAGUUGCCAGCAUUCAGUUGGGCACUCUAAGGUGACUGCCGGUGACAAACCGGAGGAAGGUGGGGAUGACGUCAAAUCA
rnacentral:rRNA from 2 species